AUGGACUUAAGGCUCACAUCGGCUUUCUUUGUUCUUAUUUUAAAAGGUGUCCAAUGUAAGGUGCAAUUCCUGGAGUCUAGGGGAGGUUUAGUGCAACCUGGAAAGUCCCUGAAACUCUCCUAUGCAAACUCUGGAUUCACCUUCAGUGAUUAUUACAUGGACUGGGUCCGCCAGGCUUCCGUGAAGGCUUUGGAGUGGGUCGCAACCGUUAGCAGCGAUGGUGGUAACACCUGGUAUAUGGACGCUGUGAAGGGCCGGUUCACAAUCUCCAGAGACAAUGCCAAGAACACUCUGUACCUGGAAAUGAGCAGUCUGAGGUCUGAGGACACAGCCAUGUAUUACUGUGCAAGAAACACAGUGAGUGAAUGCUACUGA